rnacentral:rRNA from 1 species
GUAAUGUCUGGGAAACUGCCUGAUGGAGGGGGAUAACUACUGGAAACGGUGGCUAAUACCGCAUAACGUCGCAAGACCAAAGAGGGGGACCUUCGGGCCUCUUGCCAUCAGAUGUGCCCAGAUGGGAUUAGCUAGUUGGUGAGGUAACGGCUCACCAAGGCGACGAUCCCUAGCUGGUCUGAGAGGAUGACCAGCCACACUGGAACUGAGACACGGUCCAGACUCCUACGGGAGGCAGCAGUGGGGAAUAUUGCACAAUGGGCGCAAGCCUGAUGCAGCCAUGCCGCGUGUAUGAAGAAGGCCUUCGGGUUGUAAAGUACUUUCAGCGGGGAGGAAGGUGUUGUGGUUAAUAACC